rnacentral:rRNA from 1 species
CACGUAGUUAGCCGGGGCUUUCUUCUCAGGUACCGUCACCUAAAGAGCAGUUACUCUCCCUAGCGUUCUUCCCUGGCAACAGAGCUUUACGAUCCGAAAACCUUCAUCACCCACGCGGCGUUGCUCGGUCAGACUUUCGUCCAUUGCCGAAGAUUCCCUACUGCUGCCUCCCGUAGGAGUCUGGGCCGUGUCUCAGUCCCAGUGUGGCCGUUCACCCUCUCAGGUCGGCUACGCAUCGUCGCCUUGGUAAGCCGUUACCCUACCAACUAGCUAAUGCGCCGCAGGCCCAUCUGCAAGCGACAGAUUGCUCCGUCCUUUCCCAACACGAGGAUGCCCUCAUGUUGACCAUCCGGUUUUAGCUCACGUUUCCGCCAGUUACUCCCCGUCUUGCAGCCAGGUUGCCUACGUGUUACUCACCCGUCCGCCACUAACGCGAUUCAAAGAGCAAGCUCUUCGAACCACUCCGUUCGACUUGCAUGUAUUAGGCACGCCGCCAGCGUCGUCCU